rnacentral:rRNA from 1 species
AACGAACGCUGGCGGCAGGCUUAACACAUGCAAGUCGAACGAACGUAGCAAUACGUUAGUGGCGCACGGGUGAGUAACGCGUGGAUAUCUGCCUUUUGGUUCGGGAUAACCUUGGGAAACUAGGGCUAAUACCGAAUGGUUCCUACGGGAUAAAGAUUUAUCGCCAAAAGAUGAGUCCGCGUCCGAUUAGCUAGUUGGUGGGGUAAUGGCCCACCAAGGCGACGAUCGGUAGCUGGUCUGAGAGGACGAUCAGCCACACUGGGACUGAGACACGGCCCAGACUCCUACGGGAGGCUG